AGUGAACACUGGCGGUAGGCCUAACACAUGCAAGUCGAACGGCAGCACAGUAAGAGCUUGCUCUUACGGGUGGCGAGUGGCGGACGGGUGAGGAAUACAUCGGAAUCUACUUUUUCGUGGGGGAUAACGUAGGGAAACUUACGCUAAUACCGCAUACGACCUACGGGUGAAAGCAGGGGAUCUUCGGACCUUGCGCGAUUGAAUGAGCCGAUGUCGGAUUAGCUAGUUGGCGGGGUAAAGGCCCACCAAGGCGACGAUCCGUAGCUGGUCUGAGAGGAUGAUCAGCCACACUGGAACUGAGACACGGUCCAGACUCCUACGGGAGGCAGCAGUGGGGAAUAUUGGACAAUGGGCGCAAGCCUGAUCCAGCCAUACCGAGUGGGUGAAGAAGGCCUUCGGGUUGUAAAGCCCUUUUGUUGGGAAAGAAAAGCAGCAGGUUAAUACCCCGCUGUUCUGACGGUACCCAAAGAAUAAGCACCGGCUAACUUCGUG
rnacentral:rRNA from 1 species